rnacentral:rRNA from 1 species
CACGCGCCAUACAAUGUGGCGCACAACGAGUUUCCUAGGCCGAUAGGAUUGUCUCCUAGUCUACAUCUCUCACGAGAUCGAGGCAACAUUGUCCAACAGUCAGACGUUUCGAUCAUGUGUCGUUGCUGAGAGUUGUUGCUGUGUUGUCUCAACUAGGAGACACUGGGCAAUCUGAGAGAGCGCUACGUGACUGGGCUAGACUUUUGUAAUUGUUGGUCUUGAACGAGGAAUGCCUAGUAAUCGUAGGUCAUUAUCCUGCGAUGAUUAUGUCCCUGCCCUUUGUACACACCGCCCGUCGCUCCUGCCGUGGCUCGUGCCGGUGAAGAGGGGGAGGCAGCGUCAACGGAGUAACAUCUGAUUGUACGUGGAACCCCUCUGAACCUUCGCGAGUAGAGGAAGGAGAAGUCGUAACAAGGUUUUCGUAGGUGAACCUGCGAAAGGAUCAUUAU